GAAGUUAUCUUGUGCUAAGCAAAUUUAUUUGGAUAUGUUAAGAAAUAUUUUAAUACUUUCCAUCUAGAAAUUCCUUUUAAAUCAUUAAUUUUUAUAGAAAAUUGACAAGCAUUCGAAACGAAAACCAAUAAACCAAAGUCUGAAAAUUUACCUGCUUCUUGUGUUGCUUAUUCUGUUCUGCUGCUGAAAAAAGAGUGUUUGAGAAAUUACUUCUACUAUUAAAACUAUAACUACUCUUCAUAAAUUUCUAAUGACUUGGAUAAUAUAAAGAGAAUCAAUGAAAUUAAAAGAAAAAUAAUGGAGUUGAUGUAAAUGAAGAAAGCAAAAAGUUUAUGGAAACAGAUUAGCUUUAGAAAACAAUAAAAUAUGUAAAAUUUGAUUAAACCAUUCAGUCAUAUUUUCAAGGUUAUUCUGCAACUGUUCUGACUAUUGCAAAAUAUUUAUUCUUUAGAAUUAAAUUCAAGAAGAUUUAUACAUAUUUUUAAUCAAGAUGAGAUAUGGUUGUUAUUGUGAGCAUAUAAGUUGAUGUGCAUCUCUGAUAAGUAUGUUUUUCGGCCCAUGUCGGUCAAAAUAACUUUGUGCUCUAUAUCAUUUGAAUUUUAAUAUUUUGUUAUUACUGUUGAUUAUUAAGGUUUUUAUAUACUAUUUUCACAAAUUUAAGUCUUUUUAUGCUUCUAAUAUAAAAUGAUCAAUGGGAUUUCUGUAUUAAUGUUUGUAUAAUGUGAAGGUAAGGGAAACUGAGGUGUCACUUUUAAUGUACUUUUAAAUUAAACUUACUCAGACACCACUGUAAGGUAUGGUUGUAUGUCAAAGGGCCCCGAUGCACUUCCAUGUAUUGCGUUGGGAGGAAAAUUGUAAUGAUAUUUUAAUAUCUAAUUUAAUCUAAAUUGAUUUACUAAAUUUUUUGCCUAAUUCGGCCUAUGUUGGGAUUAUUCUAAAGUGGUGUUCUUUUGCUUCUGGAUACCAUUCCACGUAAGAAGCUGUGUAAAAAUUACUGCACUAUCAAUCUAUGCAUCAAGAGAAAGUGAUAACUUCGGUGCCCUUGCCAAGGUGUCAAAGGUCACCGCAUAUAUUGAAUUGGUGCGUGGCCGGAAAUCCCAUGUUAUAUAGGACUAAUGAUCAUUUGUUUCGCCCCUCUUUCUUACUUCUGCUUUUGUGCCGCAGUGCACUUUCUUGUAAAGCAUCAUGCCUGCCACGCGGAAGAGAAUAAAACAAGAUUAAAAAUAUAACGUCUCGUCUAUGUCUUCAAACCUACCUUCUGCUGCAAACAAAAUAAUUUUACAUAUAUUUAUAGAAUUAUAUUAUUUUUAAAGCAUUUGGGGAUGCUUUAAUCAUUUGACUGUAAUAAUCACAUUGAAUUGGACCAUUAGUAAUUACUACAAAUAGCAUUGACUGUAUAUUUUUUGUGAAGUCUCCUUAUGAAAAAAUUUAUAAUUUAUGACUGCAAAUAUAUUUGUACUAUAUGGUAAGUUUCCUUGAAUACGAUAUUGAAUAAAACGAAAGAAUAUUGGUUUCAAAGGAGUCCAGAGACUAAACUCUUUUGAAACUAAUAUUUUUUUAAGCAUAUAUAUCACCAAUCUUAGUAACUUUAGUUAUAGAGAAAACUUUUCAAACUGAAAUUUUGACAUAUUACCAAUGUUGGUGACUAAGUUUCAUAUAUAGAUAUAAUAACUUUUUGAACUUCUUUGGCAUAUAUCGUCAACUAA